CUUUACUGCAGCUUCGCAGUGGCGCCAGGAAGGGACUGUGUAGGAUAGGUGGGAGGCUUUGAAGCCGGGGCGCCAGCUCUGGUGGAGCCAACCUUGAAAUACCACCCUGUGCCUUUCUGGCGUCUAACCGCAUCCUGUUAUCCAGGAUCGGGACCCUGCGUGGUGGGCAGUUUGACUGGGGCGGUCGCCUCCCAAAUGGUAACGGAGGCGCGCGAUGGUGGGCUCAAGCCGGUCGGACAUCGGCUGUUGAGUGCAAAGGCACAAGCCCGCCUGACUGCGAGCGCGACAGCGCGAGCAGAGACGAAAGUCGGCCUUAGUGAUCCGGUGGUCCCGCGUGGAAGGGCCAUCGCUCAACGGAUAAAAGUUA
rnacentral:rRNA from 1 species